rnacentral:lncRNA from 1 species
GUUAUCAAGAGAAAAACAGUCUUAGAUGCAACAUAAAAAUUUCAGAGACAGAAGAAAUCUUCCUUUGAGGGCAGUGAUACACUUAUGUGAGAUUUUGAAAAGUGAAAAAUCAAAGGUGGAAUUGACCAGUAGAUGUAAAAGUACAACAAAUAAACAAAAAUGGCAAUGUUGAAAGUGAAACUGAAAUUCAACAGAAAUAAAAGAAAUAGCAGACUGGGGGGAUAUUGACUUUGACACCAUGAUGCCAGAGGAACUUAGUGAUGGCAAACUUAUCAAUAUAAAAUGAGGAUAUUGGUUGUCAACUAGGAUUGAAAUGCUGUUUUUCUUCCCUGGUACAAUGUUAAAGCUUUAAACUCUUGUCAAUGAUGUGAUGUUUCAUCUGCAAUGAUCUACACUAGAAAAAUAAAAAUGUAGUUACUGACAAAAAAGCAGGAACUACUGCUCUAAGGAAAAAAGGACAGCUACAUGAGGACCACACAACUCCUGGAAGAGGUUUCCCUGGCAACACAACUUUUCCAUUCAUCUGGUUGCAGUGUUUUCAUCCAGUAGCCUGUCACCUCACUCAAAAGCAGGGCAAUGGAGAGAAAGAAACUUACCAAGUUUUUUCUUUUAACUAGAGAGUAGCCUACUUAUUGGGCCCUGCAAUUAAUUUCAGUACUCCAGGCAGAUUUAUAAAGGAAGCUGCUGGAAGGAAUUCAUUCCCUUUUUGCUGUUCUGCCUUCCACCUUCCACUGUGUGAGGACACUGCAAGAAAGCCCUCAUCAGACACCAACUGCCAGCACCUAGAUCUUGGAAUUCUCAGCCUCCAGAACUGUGAGAAACACGUUUCUGUUUUUCUAUAAAAUAAUAAUAAUAAAAAACUUCCAUGCAGGAAAAAAAAUCAAGUUCAAAGGUCCUGUGGUGAGGGCAUACCAGCUUUGUUUGAGAAGCAGUAAUCAUGCCUGUGUGACUGUAAUGAAAGAAUAAAAGAGAAAUGAGCACAGAAGAAUA